rnacentral:rRNA from 1 species
UACGUAGGGUGCAAGCGUUGUCCGGAAUUACUGGGCGUAAAGGGCGCGUAGGCGGACAGUUUAGUCAGAGGUGAAAGCCCAGGGCUCAACCUUGGAAUUGCCUUUGAUACUGACUGUCUUGAGUUCGGGAGAGGUGAGUGGAAUGCCGAGUGUAGAGGUGAAAUUCGUAGAUAUUCGGCGGAACACCAGUGGCGAAGGCGACUCACUGGCCCGAUACUGACGCUGAGGCGCGAAAGCGUGGGGAGCAAACAGG